rnacentral:rRNA from 1 species
UACAGAGGGGGCAAGCGUUGUUCGGAAUCACUGGGCGUAAAGCGCACGUAGGCGGGUCGUUAAGUCGGGGGUGAAAUCCUGGAGCUCAACUCCAGAACUGCCUUCGAUACUGGCGAUCUUGAGUCUGGGAGAGGUGAGUGGAACUCCGAGUGUAGAGGUGAAAUUCGUAGAUAUUCGGAAGAACACCAGUGGCGAAGGCGGCUCACUGGCCCGGUACUGACGCUGAGGUGCGAAAGCGUGGGGAGCAAACAGG